rnacentral:lncRNA from 1 species
AAACAAAAUUCUGCAUUUACAUAAACCAAAAUUCUGCAUUACAACGAGGAAUAACCUGCAUAACAUUGAAUUCCUGCAUAAUAACAGAAAAAUUUCACAACCAAAUAACAGAAUUUUCUUCUAAUCUUAAUCUCAUAACUCUAAAAAAAAUCAAAACCUUCACCUCACUACACUUCCAGAUUUUUCCACAUAACAGACUCAAUCUCAUUUCUUCCUCU